rnacentral:rRNA from 1 species
UACGUAGGGUGCGAGCGUUAAUCGGAAUUACUGGGCGUAAAGCGUGCGCAGGCGGUUCGUUAAGUUCGUUGUGAAAGCCCCGGGCUCAACCUGGGAACUGCAAUGGAAACUGGCGGGCUUGAGUGUGGCAGAGGGGGGUGGAAUUCCGCGUGUAGCAGUGAAAUGCGUAGAGAUGCGGAGGAACACCGAUGGCGAAGGCAGCCCCCUGGGCUAGCACUGACGCUCAGGCACGAAAGCGUGGGGAGCAAACAGG